GCGCUUUAUUUAGCGGGAUUGGGCGGAAAUGUGCGCAUGAACGCGUUCCUCAUUAGCGCGCGGCUCUGCGUUGAUCAGACUACACUUUCUCAGCGAGGACACGAGAGGAUUUUCUGCACCAGACACCAUGGACGAGGACUUUGAACGCCGCAGGGAGCUCCGGAGACAAAAGCGAGAAGAGAUGCAAAGGGAAACCGAAAAGAUGAGCUACCUAAAACCUGAUGACGAUGAUGAAGAUGCUGCUCGAGAGAGAAGGAGACGAGCCCGACAGGAAAGGCUGCGCAACAUGGAGAACGAGGAGAUUAGUAACACUGCCAAAGAACUCAACAGCACUGACAGUGUAACAGACACAGGUUCAUCAGCAUUGAUUACCGCUCCUGCCACUAGCGAGGAUGAUCAGGCUCUUCUGGAGCGGCUGGCCAAGCGUGAGGAGCGUAGACAGAGAAGGAUGAGGGAAGCCCUGGAGAGACGAAAGGAGUUUGACCCCACCAUCACUGAUGGAGAAGCCACCAUCACUACCAGUGAGGACAGACCAAGCCGCAGGAGCCGUCUCGGGGAUAGAGAAGAGGAGACUACCAAUAAUGAGGUUCCAUCCUCAGAGACCAACUCCUGGACAGAGAAGGAAGAAAAGAACAAGGACGAGAAUGUAGAGGAGUCAAAGGUGGAGGUUCAGGAGACAGUCCCAGUAAAGGAGGAACCUGUGGCAGAACCAGCUUCAGAGGAACCAAAAGACACUCAAGAAGACAUUGUGGAGAAGAAAGAGGAAGAGGAGGAAGUAGAGCGGCCCCGGAGAUCCUACCUCAGAGAACAGCGAUCCACUGAAGAAAAAGCCAAAGUGUCAACAAUGGAGGAAAAGGGUGAAGAUCAGUCUGUCAGUACAAACAGUGUGGCUGAGGAGAAAACAGAUACAGAUUUAAACAGUACAGAUUUAGAAAAGAAAGAGAUUAAAGAUGGAAGUUUGUUAUCAAAGGAAGAGAGUCAGGUCAAACCUACAAGAGAAGAAGAAAAAGUCGAGGCAGCUGUCAGUGAGGAACCUGUAAUAUCUAAGACGGAGGAGGAAGAAAAGCUUGUGGAGGAGGAAAAACCGUUAGAGACAUGUGAAACACCUGCUGCUCCAGUGUCACUGGUUCAGGAUGAACCUUCUCUGGUGAACAAGAAAGUGGAGGAACCUCCAAAAGAAAUAAUUGAGCCUUCAGUGGAGAAGGAAAAAGAGGAACCGCAGAAAGACACAUUUGAGCCUGCACCAAAAAAGAAAGAAGUAGAGAAAGUAAAGGAAGGUACACCUGAACCACAGGAGAAGAAGAUUGUGGAGAAAGUGAGGCAAGAACAAGAGAAACCACGAAUACUGGAGAAAAAACCUGAAGAUAAGCCAGAUAGGUCAAAGAGGGAAAUAGAGGUGAAGGUUGAACUUCCAAAGAAACAAGCUGAGGAGAAGCCUCCUGUGAAGGUUAAGGUAGAGGAGAAAGCAGUGCCACCAAAGAAGAUUGAAGAGAAACAACCAGUUUUGAAGAAGGAGGUGGAAGAAAAACCAAAAUGGAAGAAGGAGGCAGAAGAAAAAUCCAAAGCAAAAAUUGAGGACAAAGUUAAACCACAGGAGGUUGUGGAGGAAAAGCCUAAACCAUUCUUUUUACGUGACAAAAACGAAUCAGCGAGGCAGCAGAAUGAAGAGGACACCUCUAAAUUCAAGAAACCCGAGAAGCCAUUCGGCCGUGUUGGGCUGCGAUCUCCUGAGGUAGAGAAGCUGGACCCUGUGUCGAAGCAGGAGGCCGAACGGAAGUUGGUGGAAUUGAAGCGCCGGAGGAACGAGACGGAGAGUGAGGAGUUUGAGAAGAUGAAGCAGAAACAGCAGACGGCUGAGGCUGAGCUCGAGGAGCUGAAGAAGAAGAGAGAGGAGAGGAGGAAGAUCCUGGAGGAAGAGGAGAAGCAGAAAAAACAGGAGCAAGCGGAAAAGAAGGCCAAGGAGGAGCAAGAGCGGCAGAAGAUGAAAGAAGAGAUCGAGCGCAGGAGGGCCGAGGCAGCUGAGAAGAAACGGCAGAAGGAGGAGUCUACUGAAGACGGCAAGUUGCCGUUCAAAUGUCUGUCUCCAAAAGGAGCCUCAACAAAGAUCGGCGAGAAAGCUGAAUUCCUGAGUAAGUCAGCCCAAAAAAUAACGGUAAAAGUGCCACACACUCCAAUGGUGUGUAAGAUAGGUAACAGGCUGGAGCAGUACAACUCGGCUGUUCAGACCAAAGACAUGAAGUCACCUAAGUCUCCUAAAGACCUUCCUGUGGCAGAGGGAAUGCGCAGCAUCAAGAGCAUGUGGGAGAAAGGUAAUGUGCAGAGCCCUGCUGCUCCAGGACCUGCCAGUCCUGCCACCAUCAACAAGGAAACAGUUGGAUUGAACACGGGAGUGACAGGUCGCAUCAACAGCUGGAAGACCAAGACUCCAGAAACGAAGACUCCUGAAACCAAGCCACCAGAAACAAAGACCUCCGAAGCGAAGAGCGUGAAACCUGCUGAGACGAAGGCGAUUGAGACGAAGACACCAGAAAUGAAGAGCACGAAAGUGGCAGAGAUGAAGAAGACCGAGUCAAAGACGCCCGAACCGAAGAGCUUGAAACCCACUGAGACAAAGUCGACUGAGAAAAAGCCUCUGGAUAUAAAGACCCCUGAAACAAAGCCCACUGACAAAAAGACCCCAGAGAUGAAGACUCCAGCACUAGGAAAACCUGCAGGAGGCAAACCUGAACCAAAGCCGACUGAUGUGUCUAAAACACGCGGCCUGUGGGAAACCAAGGGCUCCACCCCCUCCAAGCAAAAUCACUGAUACAAAGCCUGGAGGAAAGGUUAAUGACGGGUUUGGACUUAAGACAACACCGUUUACUAAUGGUACAAGGAAGUAAACACCAAAGCAAACAAUGAGCUUUUGAAACGAGACAAGAUCGCUGCAUACUGCAUACUUUUUUAUACUUUAAUAUCCUCCAGUUGUGUAUAAAAUAAAAAUUAUAAUGCUUGGAAUAAUUACAAAAAAAUAAUGUCAUAACAACAGCACAAGCACGUGUACGCCUUUAUCUGAGAUCCUGUUUACACCUGGUCAUUUAAUGUAUCUAGGUUUUAAUCUGUUGAGAAUUUAACCACAUGCAUUUACACUUGACAGUGACAGAAAUCUGAGAAAGCUGCAUUGUGAGCAAGAUGGAAAUCGGCGUAUAGCAUUUGACCACCAGGUUCUUGCAUUGUUCCUCACUUCCAGGAAAAAUGGUUUCCGCAAUUAAAAAUCCCAACCGCAUUACAUUCUUCGAAGAUGGUUCCUAAAAAGUUAUUUCAUUUCCUCUUGGAAAUGUAAAAUUUCCCACCCAUUUAUUAUUCUGAUCAAAUCCAAUAAGUGAUGAGGUGAUAACUGGGUCCACGUGCAUGGUUCUGUGUUUUAUUGUAUUGUGUGCUUUAUAGAGUAAAUUUGUUGCCAAAAAUGUAGGGAUGCUUGCUGUAUUUUCACACAAGUGUCAGUGGUAAUCACUAAUCUUUCAAGCAAUACAACAUUUGUUUCAGAGCAUCAUGCUAAAUGUACCUGUGUAAUGAAGACAAUGAUGUCCAGUUUUGUCUUUUGUCCAGAGUUUGGUUUUUUUUUUUUCAGAUCACUGCAUUGCAUAGUACUGCUAAAAUAUCAGCUUUUAGGCCCAAUGUAGCAUUCACAGUAUUCACAGUAUUCACAGUAUUGAAUAUGAUGCUGCCAUACUAGCCACUUUAAAGGUUGAAUGAUUCUUUUUUCUUUUUCUUUCACAGAAUAGUUUGUUAUCAGGUUACUGGUCUCUCUGUGAAUUAUAGAGUAUGCAAAUCAUCAUGCUUUAUUAGCACAUGUCACAUUUAAACCAGCCUCUGAGUAUCAAAAUGCAAAUCAGCUAUACAAGCACUGCGAAUUCCGAUCUUGGAUGAUCUGUGCCUUAUUAAAUGAGAUUCCUAAUUUAGAAAAGAAUGUCCUUGAGUGUCCUGGCUGUAUCAUGUACCAAAGUGCAACAAAUAAAUUCGAUUAUUGAGAUUCUCGUUACAA